AGCGAACGCUGGCGGCAGGCCUAACACAUGCAAGUCGAACGAAGUCUUCGGACUUAGUGGCGGACGGGUGAGUAACACGUGGGAACGUGCCUUUAGGUUCGGAAUAACGCAGGGAAACUUGUGCUAAUACCGAAUGUGCCCUUCGGGGGAAAGAUUUAUCGCCUUUAGAGCGGCCCGCGUCUGAUUAGCUAGUUGGUGAGGUAAAGGCUCACCAAGGCUACGAUCAGUAGCUGGUCUGAGAGGAUGACCAGCCACAUUGGGACUGAGACACGGCCCAAACUCCUACGGGAGGCAGCAGUGGGGAAUCUUGCGCAAUGGGCGAAAGCCUGACGCAGCCAUGCCGCGUGGAUGAUGAAGGUCUUAGGAUUGUAAAAUCCUUUCACCGGCGAAGAUAAUGACUGUAGCCGGAGAAGAAGCCCCGGCUAACUUCGUGCCAGCCGCCGCAGUAAAAC
rnacentral:rRNA from 1 species